rnacentral:rRNA from 1 species
AUUGAACGCUGGCGGCAGGCCUAACACAUGCAAGUCGAACGGUAGCACAGAGGAGCUUGCUCCUUGGGUGACGAGUGGCGGACGGUGAGUAAUGUCUGGGAAACUGCCCGAUGGAGGGGGAUAACUACUGGAAACGGUAGCUAAUACCGCAUAACGUCGCAAGACCAAAGAGGGGGACCUUCGGGCCUCUUGCCAUCGGAUGUGCCCAGCUGGGAUUAGCUAGGAGGUGGGGUAACGGCUCACCUAGGCGACGCUCCCUAGCUGGGCUGCGAGGAUGAGCAGCCACACUGGAACUGAGACACGGUCCAGACUCCUCCGGGAGGCAGCAGUGGGGAAUAUUGCACAAUGGGCGCAAGCCUGAUGCAGGCAUGCCGCGGGUAUGAAGAAGGCCUUCGGGUUGUAAAGUACUUUCAGCGGGGAGGAAGGGGUUAAGGUUAAUAACCUUAGCCAUUGACGUUACCCGCAGAAGAAGCACCGGCUAACUCCGUGCCAGCAGCCGCGGUAA